UAAAGCGUCACAUUAAACUGUAUUCAAUCAUUAAAAUGUAGAUUAUAUAAAACUUCCUUUCUAGCUAUUUCAGGGCACUCUUUAAUAAAACAAACACUAAUUUGGACCGUAUAUAUUAUCAAUACCUUACUGGGCACAACAUAGGAAAUCAAGUUCAUGUGUGAGAGAAAUUUAGGAUCUACUUUAUCUACAUUUGCGAUAAAUCGGCAAGUUGGAUAUGUCAUGAAAGAUUGGUUACUCAUGAAAAUUCAUUAAUGCCUUAUCACUAUACUGCAUGAUUUUUUUAGUCUACCAAAUAUAUAUUCUUACAAUUUCUAGCUGCUACUCUCAUACAUGCAUGAUUGCAUGUUCAAACAGUUCAAUCACAACACUGUGGUUAUAAACACCUGAAUUGCAUUUUGAUCCUGCUAUUUUAAAAUAUUGAACAAGCUAUUUUUCCUGAGAUUAAAGUCAUAUAAUUCGAGAAUUAUAUUAUGUCAAGUUCCGCCAAUCAUAAUUCAAAUAAAAUAAGUGGGGUUAACAAAUACAUGUUGCAAAAUUGCUAUCGAACACAUUGACAUUAAAAAUAAAUAAAUCGUAAGGAAAACAAAUAAAUAAAUAAAUAAAUUAAAAAAAAAUGAUAGUGAGCUUUAUUUGUCGUGUUACCAACCCUCCAAUCAAGCACCUGUAAGAUAGAAGCUUUGUGGGGAAGCUGCUGGUUGUCUUGGCCCCAUCCAGGUUUCCUGUAAAGAUAUUGCAGGUUUUUCCUGGCCUCCCUGAUGUUCCAGCUGUAGUAUGAGUGAUGGUAAUGCUCAAAUAUAUGUCUUACGAUCAACUUGUAGUUUCAAAAAAAAAAAAAAAAAAUUCUAUUUGCAUAUAACAUGAUUUUAAUCAAUUAAUUAUUUAAAGUGUGUCGAAAGAGAAAUAUAGACGACAUGUCUUCGAAAAGCACAAAGAUCAUCUGUCUUCUAUACGAUUACAGUUGUGGUGGGAGUUGGGUAUUUUCGUCUAUGGGGAAUACACAUGCUGUGUAUUUGUGGGGAUGGAGUGCUCCCAAAGGUCACCCUCAACCCCAUAGACUCACACAAAUCAAUGUAUUAUACAGGGUGUAUCAAAAAAAACGCAACCUCGGAAUUUCCCAAGAAAUCUACAUUGUUUUAAAGACAAAAGAUUUUAGGCGCCUGGGAAUUUAAAAUAGCACAACUGUCAAAAUUACUGCACACGCG